rnacentral:rRNA from 1 species
CCUACGGGUGGCAGCAGUCGAGAAUCAUUCACAAUGGGGGAAACCCUGAUGGUGCGACGCCGCGUGGGGGAAUGAAGGUCUUCGGAUUGUAAACCCCUGUCAUGUGGGAGCAAAUUAAAAAGAUAGUACCACAAUAGGAAGAGACGGCUAACUCUGUGCCAGCAGCCGCGGUAAUACAGAGGUCUCAAGCGUUGUUCGGAAUCACUGGGCGUAAAGCGUGCGUAGGCUGUUUCGUAAGUCGUGUGUGAAAGGCGCGGGCUCAACCCGCGGACGGCACAUGAUACUGCGAGACUAGAGUAAGGGAGGGGGAACCGGAAUUCUCGGUGUAGCAGUGAAAUGCGUAGAUAUCGAGAGGAACACUCGUGGCGAAGGCGGGUUCCUGGACAUUAACUGACGCUGAGGCACGAAGGCCAGGGGAGCGAAAGGGAUUAGAUACCCGUGUAGUC